rnacentral:rRNA from 1 species
GACGAACGCUGGCGGCGUGCUUAACACAUGCAAGUCGAGCGGUAAGGCCCUUUCGGGGGUACGACGAGCGGCGAACGGGUGAGUAACACGUGGGUGACCUGCCCUUAGCUCUGGGAUAAGCCUGGGAAACUGGGUCUAAUACCGGAUAUGACUCCAUGACGCAUGUUGUGGGGUGGAAAGCCUUGUGCGGCUAGGGAUGGGCCCGCGGCCUAUCAGCUUGUUGGUGGGGUGAUGGCCACCAAGGCGACGACGGGUAGCCGGCCCGAGAGGGCGACCGGCCACACUGGGACUGAGACACGGCCCAGACUCCUACGGGAGGCAGCAGUGGGGAAUCUUGCGCAAUGGGCGAAAGCCUGACGCAGCGACGCCGCGUGAGGGAUGACGGCCUUCGGUU